rnacentral:rRNA from 1 species
UACGUAGGGUGCAAGCGUUAAUCGGAAUUACUGGGCGUAAAGCGUGCGCAGGCGGUUAUGCAAGACAGAUGUGAAAUCCUCGGGCUCAACCUGGGAACUGCAUUUGUGACUGCAUAGCUAGAGUACGGUAGAGGGGGAUGGAAUUCCGCGUGUAGCAGUGAAAUGCGUAGAUAUGCGGAGGAACACCGAUGGCGAAGGCAAUCCCCUGGACCUGUACUGACGCUCAUGCACGAAAGCGUGGGGAGCAAACAGG